CUCUAGCGCUGCCGCCCACCCUAUCUCUGCCCACCGGAGCCCAUCCUCUCCCCCGCCGGUGGAAUGCUCCCACUGCCCCAGCCAUCCCCCACCCUGUAUCUCCACACCAGCAGAGAACACGGUCCCAACCCAAAGGAGCACACAGAUGUGAGAGGCCGGAUCGAGCCCAUCCCCGCCUCCACGGUCGUCGGCCCGCCGCCCACGAUGGCACUAACGCUGCCCCAAUCCUAUAACCGAUGAAUUCAUAACUUGCACCACUCUCGUUUGUUGCCUUCCCCAUGCCAGCGCGCGUGAGGCGUCGCUAUUGGAUCGAUGGAGCGUGUGCUAUAUGUGUGCGCGCGUGCGCCUGAACGCUAGGGUGGCGUGCAGGAGCUCCUCCUUCUCCUCCCUUUUCCUCUCUCCCGGUACUCGAGGUGGAGCUUGAGCUGGGCGGGACGCUGAGCAUGAGUUCUUGGGGGCAGAGGAGGAAAACGGUCAGGUAGCAGGCGUGGACAUUGUGGAGCGGUUGUGUGCGGAGGAGAGCGUGAACGCUGGGAUGGCUAUUGUUAAUUUUGCUGCUCUGCCCUGAUAUACUGCUAUUGCAUAUAUAAAGAGAUCGUGGAGGAAAGCAGCAGCCUACUGCUGCAAUUAUUUCCAUGCUUCUACCGGUUUUGUUCAUGCUAUUACUUGCUUACUGAUUACAACUGCUAAUAUUAGGUACUGCUCAUGAUUUGUAGAUAUGUAUGCUGCUAGGUACUCGUGAGCAUGGUGACAAGGGAUCGGUGUUGCAGCCAUAGCGUCUGGUGGCCAUAAAGUGGCAGCCACUACUUAGUUACGUAAUCUAGCUGGCAAUGGUGAGAAGACUUUGAUCAUGAUAUAUUAGAUGUAAGCCCCAUACACCAUGGGCGGUCCUCCUUUUGGUGAUAUGAGCCGGUGAGCUUUCUCCAUCUCCACCCUCUAAUACAGAUUGGUUCUGCAUUAUGCAUUUGUGGCUUAGAUAAGAAAGGAAUGUUUCUAUCUAAAUAUUAUCCAGUUAAUCUUUCUUUGUCUAAAUCGAUUUAGGAGAAGAGAUAGAGAGAAGAACAAGUUACUGGUGUGGUUCAUUUGGGAAAUUUAGUACUUUGUUUAUACUGCUUUGUUUUAGGGGAUGAAAUAAAGAGAAGAAGAAAUUCCUGUGAUGGAUCUCUAUGAAAGUUGUUACAUGAAGUAUUUUAUCUAGAACGUCUACUUUGAAUAUCCCUGGUGUUGGGUUUGGUCUUCAUUCAGUCUCCAAAUUAUAUGGUUUGGUAAGAUUUUCCUUCUUUGCAAAUUUGAUUGCUUAAUGGUGUGUACGCCAACACCCGUCUCCCACUGGUUGUGUCCCUUGCGUGCUCAUGGACAUCACCAGCGUCUAUGGGAUAUGAGGAGUAUCCCACAUUUACUCUGACGAGCAUUACAAGCUCUGAACUUUACAUAUUACCAUGACGAGUCUGCCAUGUCUCAGUUCUCGGCUUCCAGGGAUAAGUGCUGCCAUGGUGGCGCAGUCACACUGGCACAACACCCCGCGUCGUUCGCGCCGAUGCUGAUGUGUUCUGCCUCCAUGCUUCGCCCUGCGAUUCCAUCCGCUGGGAGAUAGUAGCCCAAACACACCAUGUCGUGGGCUGGCAUACCAUGGUCGGAGACUAGACCAAGUGCUCGGCAUGGAGCCACAUUAUAUAGUCUAUUGGCAGAUUUAGAUUCCCCUCAAAAAAUAAUACCAUUGUGUUAAUGUUGAAUACUAUUUCGAGUUUGCGAGACAACAACCGCUACAAUAAAAUUUGCAACUUAGCAUGUUUAGUGCAUUCUGGUUGUGAGUAGAUGUAUUUUAGUUUAAGGAAUAUGUGUCCUUGUGGCCACUUGUAGUUUAACAUUUUGUCAUUUUUUGCAAAGAUGUUCUCCUGUAGUUAUUUGAUUACUAUUUGACCCACGUCAUUUGCAAAUAUUUAUGUUUGCCGAUUGUCCA